GCCGGUCCGAUUUUCUCCUCUCUUUUUUCUUUUAGACUUUUCUUUUUCCCUUUUUCUCAUUUCUUUUGGACUCCAAAUUGGGCCAAAUAAAUUCUAGAAAUUUUUUAAAAUCAUGUUUUAUCAUGAUUCAACUUUUGGGAGUAAUUCCCCUCAAAAUAAAAUACAUAAAAUACAUUUCCCCUAUAAAUGCCUUUAGGGCUAUAUAACUAUUUAAAUAAAACAGUUUUUCAACUCCAAAUAAUUAUCCAAAAAUUAUGGGAUAGCUUAUUUAUGCAAUAAACCCCUUUUAUAAUUAAACCCUAUUGGUUUGAAGAUUCAAAACUGAAAUGGGUGUAAACCCUAGGGUUUUAAUUGAAAUAAAAAUCUUUUAAAGCCUUU
rnacentral:lncRNA from 1 species